rnacentral:tRNA from 1 species
GGUGAAAUGGUCGAGUAUAAAAGGCGUUAAAUUGUAAAUUUAAAUACGAAGAAUAUCUUCUUUCACCA